UUUCUAUUCUAUUUCUGUUACCAGAGUUUUCUCUGGGGCAGGCUCCCCUUUCUUCCCACACCAGCAAGUAGGCUCUCUCUGCCUCUUGGCCUCUGGGGCCCAGCACCUCUCAAUUGUCAGACUCCUCCCUCCUGCAUGGGGCUCCCUCCCAGAGGGGCAGUGGAGGUCAUGGUCAUAGCCAGGAACGGGAUGAUUGCAGGGAGAGCUCCCCUAGGAGGCAGAGAGAAAGCAGGAGAAAGCAGCAGCCUUUCUUCUUCAUCCCCCCUUGGGGAGCUAAUUACAGGCCAGCAGCCCACUGCACAGGGCAUAACGGUGGCAUCAGUCAAGAAGACUCCAGGCUGCACUUGAACUUAGCCCAAAGCGAGAAGCGAUGAGACUCCAGGCUGAACCACCUUCACCAUAGAAACGCUUGCAGAAUAUCUCUGGCCCCACCCUUCGAAGGCAGGGUAUGGGGACACAGCUUCCCUUGCUGGUGAAACCUCAGGGAGGACUUUCAACAGAUGGCGUGCAAGAUAAGAGGCACCUAAGACGGCUCAGGAGGCCACAGCUGGAGAUCCAAGGAAGGAGAACGACCAGGGUAACCUAUAAGAGCUGGUUUCAGCCCAGGAUGUCUUCGCCCCAGCCUUCACCCCUACCAGCCUUCCUCUGCUCCUACUCGGAUUUCCUACCUCCUUCCUCAAGGAGGAAUUAAGAAUGGUAACACUAACUCUUAUUGUGGGCUCAGCAUGUGCUGGAACUGUGGUAAACCAGUUCUUUCCAUGUAUCAUCUCUUUUAAUCUUCUCCACAAUAUGACAAAAUAGGUAAUACUAAUAAUGCCAUUUCAUAGAUGAGGAAACUGAGCCCCAGAGAGGGUAGGGUCACAUGGCAGGCAAGUGACAAAACUAGGACUGAAACAAGUGAGUCAAGUCUACACUUUUGAUCAGUGCGGUCCCCAUCAGUCUUCCCACUCGGAGGUAUUCCUUCCAACCCCAUCACCAUGGCCUACAUGGGAAGAAAAGUCCUCUGCUCUCCUUCGUCCCCACCCAGGGCUGGGUUCCCAGUCUCCCAGCCCAUCAUCACCUUUUCCUCAGCCCGUGGACGAUUCCAGCUCUAUUCAGCUGGUGUGCACUGAAGACCAACUCUGUGUUAGGUGCUGCACUGGGCACUGGGGUGCUGAGAAGGAGUGAGCUGCCCCCUUGGGGUCCCCAGCCCCCCCCGGGAAGACAACUGUACACAACUAACUCAAAUGCAGGGCAGAAUGAGCUCAGGGCUGGGACAGAGCAUAAAUAAAGUAUGUCAGGGCUCUGAGCAGGGAGGGAUAGAGUCCGAGGAGGGCCACACGGAGACGAUGGCCUCCCUCCCUAACCCCCAGCUCUGGCAGAGGGGACUGCACUCAGGCCCCUGGCCAGGAUGAGAGCCGAGUUCAGGAAACACAUCAGGGAUGGCCUGGCCAGGCUCACCCCCCCUCCCCUACCUCCCACCCUGAGCAGGGAAUAAAGGCCCCUUGAGGA